rnacentral:tRNA from 1 species
AGAGAGGUAUCAGAAUUGGUAGAUGGUUACCUGUAAUGUCAGGGGGCUGUAAUGGCCUUGGAGGUUCAAGUCCUCCCCUCUCCU